rnacentral:lncRNA from 1 species
GUUGGCAAAUAGCCAGUCCUCUGGAGAGGGCUGUAGAGACAACACACAUGAUAGCCUUCAACCACUUUGCACACAUAUCCCCAAGUUCAGUCUGUGCUUUCAGAUCAAUUCAAGGCCAAUUGGACUUCUUGCAGCUUUCCUUGAACACUUGAGCCAAUCAUUUUAAAACUCAUAGCAAUUAUUUUACUGGUGGCCUGAUACAAUCAUAUUCUUUUGUUAUCUGAGUAUUUACUGUCAUCUGUAUCAUCUUUAAGAAUAGCAAGCAUUGCUGGGGUGGUGCUGGCCUAGAAUGGCAGCUGUGAAGGAGGCUAGGGCAUGAGUGUUCCUUGGGCCCAGGAGUGCGGUGCCAGCCUGGGCAACACAGUGGGACUCCCCUCUCAAAACAAACCAAAAUGGGGCUGAGCUUGUCACUCAAUGGUGGAGCGCUUGCCUAGCACAUUUGAGGACCUGGGUUCGAUCCUCAGUACCACAUAAAAAUAAAUAAAAGUAUUGUGUCCAACUGCAACUAAAAAUAAAUAAAUAAAUAAACAGGGCUGAGAAGUGGCUCAGUAGAAUAGCACUUGCCUGACAUGUGUGGGGCCCUGGGUUCAAUCCCCAGCAUCACAAAAACUAAAUGAAUAAACAAGUGUGCCACUGUGCCAACAACAGAUACUUUUAAAAACAGCCUCCUCUUCAACGCAAAAGACAAUACGUGUAAAGUACUAUGAAUUUCCCCUGCCUCAAUCUUUA